AGUUGUAAAACACUAUUAAGAUCAUCUACAUCAUCCUAUCACGCCAUGUCUGUUAAACCACAUGCGUAUGUUGCAGAUCAGAGCUGUUUGCUGUCUGCUAGGAAGAGGAAUAAACUUGUCUGAAUACCAAGUGAAAUGAAGAUCAGCCUAUCCUUUUAAAAAACAUUCUGUGACGGCAAGUUCAUGGUUUUCACAGCAGUAAAAAUGAUUAAAACAGUAGUCAUGGUGAUGAGAGCUGCUUUCACAGGCUUAUAACACUACUUGGUCAUUGUCAAAUAGAGUUUUCCACAGAGACAGACUAUAAAGAGCUGCUUACUGUCGCAUGACUCAUAGCUAUUAAAACCUCUAAGCUGGAGUUAUAUUUUAGCAUACUUAUAAGUGAUAUUUCUUAACAUGUCAAGGUUUAUUCACAAAUGCAAUUUACUCACUGGCCAUUUAACACAUGUACCCAGCUUCUACUUCUGUACCCUUAUGCUUUAUAUCUGCCUGAUGACAGAAACACUCUAUUAGAUAACUUUACUAUGAUUUAGCUGUGGGGAGGCAAAGGAGGUUGCCUGUUCUUGCUUGGUAACGUGACUAACAGAGCUAAUCUCAAAAUGCAUUACCAUUCCUUUUGCUUCGUCUCACUCUUCACUGAAAAAAAAUCUAAAGGUCUGGGAUUCAAAAAUACCAAUGCAAAAAUCCUAUUGACAGAAAAUUAAUACUGAUUUUCAUCAGCUUGAUUUUUCUUUUCUUUUCUUUUUUUCUUUUUUUUUUUUUUUCCCCCAUUCAAAUAAGUACGUCUCAGGAUGAUGUUUUGAAUAAAGUGUUACCAGUACAUUCUAAGAACAGAUUUAUUUCCUCUAACUUUUUGGAAAGGAAUGGUAACUAGGUGGCC
rnacentral:lncRNA from 7 species